rnacentral:rRNA from 1 species
UGGCCGUAAACGAUGUGGACUUGGUGUUGGAAUGGCUUCGAGUUGUUCCAGUGCCGAAGGGAAGCUGUUAAGUCCACCGCCUGGGAAGUACGGUCGCAAGACUGAAACCUAAAGGAAUUGGCGGGGGAGCGCCACAACGCGUGGAGCCUGCGGUUUAAUUGGAUUCAACGCCGGACAUCUCACCAGGAGCGACAGCAGAAUGAUAAUCAGGUUGAUGACCUUAUUUGACUAGCUGAGAGGAGGUGCAUGGCGUCAGUGACUGU